rnacentral:rRNA from 1 species
GAUGAACGCUGGCGGCGUGCCUAAUACAUGCAAGUCGAACGAAGCGGGGGCGGGUGAGUAACACGUGGUUAACCUCCUUUACGGCUGGGUUAACUUCGGGGAACCGGUGGUAAACCUGAUACUUUUGGGUGGCUCCACGAUGCAUUAGCUAGUUGGUAAGGUAACGGCGUACCAAGGCAACGAUGCAUAGCCGACCUGAGAGGGUGAUCGGCCACACUGGAACUGAGAAACGGUCCAGACUCCUACGGGAGGCAGCAGUAGGGAAUCUUCCGCAAUGGGCGAAAGCCUGACGGAGCAACGCCGCGUGAGUGAUGAAGGUCUUCGGAUCGUAAAACUCUGUUAGUAGGGAAGCGGUACCUAAUCAGAAAGCCACGGCUAACUACGUGCCAGCAGCCGCGGUAAUAC